UACGGAGGAUCCGAGCGUUAUCCGGAAUUAUUGGGUUUAAAGGGUGCGUAGGCGGCACUUUAAGUCAGGGGUGAAAUACAGCGGCUCAACCGUUGCAGUGCCCUUGAUACUGAAGUGCUUGAAUUCGGACGAAGGAGGCGGAACGGGACAAGUAGCGGUGAAAUGCAUAGAUAUGUCCCAGAACCCCGAUUGCGAAGGCAGCUUCCUAGGCCGGUAUUGACGCUGAUGCACGAAAGCGUGGGGAUCGAACAGG
rnacentral:rRNA from 1 species